rnacentral:lncRNA from 1 species
GUUGUGGCUGUAGUUGUGCUUUCUUCAUUUCUUCCUUUUUGGGUCCUUCUAUUUCUUCUUCAUCAUCAUCGUCAUAGUCAUAGUCAUCGUCAUCGUCAUCGUCAUCGUCUUCUUCUUCUUCCUUUUUAGGCUCUUCUUUUUUAGUUUCCUCCUUGGGUGGUUCCACUUUCUUUGCUCCCUCCUUGGGUGGUUCCUCUUUCUUUGUUUCUUCUUUGGGUGGCUCUUCCUUCCUUGGUUCUUCUUUAGGUGGCUCCUCUUUCUUGGUUUCUUCCUUCUUAGGUUCUUCUUUCUUCUCUUGCACGGGAGCUUUAGCUGGUCCUACUAUGAGUAUUUCUGUCCACCAAAAUUUGCGCAGUCUACUCACUACGCUCACCGGAUCAACCGUACCAAUGACGG